rnacentral:rRNA from 1 species
GUGAGUCAUCGAAUCUUUGAACGCAUCUUGCGCUCCUUGGUAUUCCGAGGAGCAUGCCUGUUUGAGUGUCAUCAAGUUCUCAACCAUACCUCGGUGUGGCUUGGAUUUGGGGGGGUUUUGCAGGCUUCAAAGAAAGUCGGCUCCCCUGAAAAGCAUUAGCGGUAUCCGAGUACCUUUGGUGUGAUAACUAUCUAUGCCUUGGUGUAUACGAUGCAUGCUGCUUCUGAACUUGCGUCUUGCGCAUUUUAUUGACAAAUUUGACCUCAAAUCAGGUAGGAUUACCCGCUGAACUUAAGCAUAUCAAUAAGCGGAGG